rnacentral:tRNA from 1 species
AUUGUUUUGGCAGAAUAGUGUAAUGAAUUUAGAAUUCAUAAAUGUAAUUUAUUUACAAACAAUA